UAGUCCAGGUCGAAAAUGGCGGCAGUUGGUGUGUCCUGGGUUUCUUGGCUGCUGGGUCAGUCCAGCCCACAGCUGGGGUGGCCUAUGUUGAGUGGUGCCCAUGGUGAAGAGGAAUCAGCUCGCAUGUGGAAGACCCUCACCUUCUUCGUCGCGCUCCCCGGGGUGGCAGUCAGCAUGCUGAAUGUGUACCUGAAGUCACACCACGGAGAGCACGAGAGACCCGAGUUCAUCGCCUACCCUCAUCUCCGCAUCAGGACCAAGCUGUUUCCCUGGGGAGAUGGUAACCAUACUCUAUUCCAUAACCCUCAUGUGAAUCCACUUCCAACUGGCUACGAAGAUGAAUAAAGAGAAUCUGGACCACUACCUGGGCACCAGGGA